UUCCAGACUCCUACGGGAGGCAGCAGUGAGGAAUAUUGGUCAAUGGACGAGAGUCUGAACCAGCCAAGUAGCGUGAAGGAUGACUGCCCUAUGGGUUGUAAACUUCUUUUAUAAAGGAAUAAGACGAGGCACGUGUGCCUUUUUGCAUGUACUUUAUGAAUAAGGAUCGGCUAACUCCGUGCCAGCAGCCGCGGUAAUACGGAGGAUCCGAGCGUUAUCCGGAUUUAUUGGGUUUAAAGGGAGCGUAGAUGGGUUGUUAAGUCAGUUGUGAAAGUUUGCGGCUCAACCGUAAAAUUGCAAUUGAUACUGGCAGUCUUGAGUACAGUUGAGGUAAGCGGAAUUCGUGGUGUAGCGGUGAAAUGCAUAGAUAUCACGCAGAACUCCGAUUGCGAAGGCAGCAUACCGGCGCUCAACUGACGCUCAUGCACGAAAGUGUGGGUAUCGAACAGGAUUAGAUACCCCGGUAAC
rnacentral:rRNA from 1 species